CAAUAGCGUAUAUUAAAGUUGUUGCAGUUAAAAAGCUCGUAGUUGGAUUUCGGGACGGGCCAGUUGGUCCGCCGCAAGGUGUGUUACUGACUGGUCUGUUCUUCUUCGCAAAGACUGCGUGUGCUCUUCGCUGAGUGUGCGUAGGAUUUACGACGUUUACUUUGAAAAAAUUAGAGUGUUCAAAGCAGGCUAUCGCUUGAAUACAUGAGCAUGGAAUAAUGGAAUAGGACUUUGGUCCUAUUUUGUUGGUUUCUAGGACCGAAGUAAUGAUUAAGAGGGACAAUUGGGGGCAUCCGUAUUUCGUUGUCAGAGGUGAAAUUCUUGGAUUUACGAAAGACGAACAACUGCGAAAGCACUUGCCAAGAGUGUUUUCAUUAA
rnacentral:rRNA from 1 species